CGGAUAAUAUAGCCCUGCGAAAUUUGCAAUCUUCAGUCAUUUUGUAUUACAAACGGGAAAUUGAUGCCCCAACACCCGAUUGGGCUGUCAAUUUCCCGUGCGUGAUACAAAAUGACUGAAAAACGGCAAACUUCGCAUGGCUAUAUUAUCCGCAUUUUACAACAUUUCGCAACGAAACUUUGGAAUAUUGCUAAUUUUGUGAUGCUCUUUCAAGCUGUGAUGAAAUUUUUGUCUAGAUCAAAAUUUAGUCUAUAAUGCAAAUGGUCCAUUG